rnacentral:rRNA from 1 species
CCCCUACGGACGCAGCAGUGGGGAAUAUUGCACAAUGGGGGAAACCCUGAUGCAGCAACGCCGCGUGAGUGAAGAAGUAUUUCGGUAUGUAAAGCUCUAUCAGCAGGGAAGAAGAAAGACGGUACCUGACUAAGAAGCCCCGGCUAACUACGUGCCAGCAGCCGCGGUAAUACGUAGGGGGCAAGCGUUAUCCGGAUUUACUGGGUGUAAAGGGAGCGUAGACGGCAUAGCAAGUCUGAAGUGAAAGCCCGUGGCUCAACCGCGGAACUGCUUUGGAAACUGUUAAGCUGGAGU